rnacentral:rRNA from 1 species
UACGGAGGGUGCUAACGUUGUUCGGAAUCACUGGGCGUAAAGCGCGUGUAGGCGGCAUGAUAAGUCAGAUGUGAAAGCCCUCUGCUCAACGGAGGAAGUGCAUUUGAAACUGUCAAGCUAGAAUACGGGAGAGGCUAGUGGAAUUCCAGGUGUAGAGGUGAAAUUCGUAGAUAUCUGGAGGAACACCCGUGGCGAAGGCGGCUAGCUGGACCGAUAUUGACGCUGAGACGCGAAAGCGUGGGGAGCAAACAGGAUUAGAUACCCGCGUA